GACGAACCGAGCGAACGUUGUUCGGAAUCACUGGGCUUAAAGGGCGCGUAGGCGGGUGCUCAAGUCCGUGGUGAAAUCCUCCGGCUCAACCGGAGAACUGCCUCGGAUACUGGGCGUCUCGAGUGUGGUAGGGGGUAUGCGGAACUAUCGGUGGAGCGGUGAAAAUGCGUUGAUAUCGAUAGGAACUCCGGUGGCGAAGGCGGCUUGCUGGACCUCUUCUGACGCUGAGGCGCGAAAGCCAGGGGAGCAAACGGG
rnacentral:rRNA from 1 species